UUUAAGCCAAGAUAUCUUCAAUUUCUUCCUUCAUUUUUCAUGCACAGCAUACACAGAAAGAUGACUAAUCUCGGCCAACAGUCGAGGAUACACAAACACGGUUCAAUACACAUGUAAAACUUGUCAACCAACUGGAUCUGAGACCAAAACAAGAACAGAAACAAAUAACAUCUUUUACUUUGUUUUAUUCGAUGGCUUCUUACCUACAGGGUAGGGGAAACUAGGAAGAUCCUCCCCUGCAGAAAGAAGGCCAAUCAUAGGGUCGGGGUGAUGGAGAAGGAUCCAUUGGAAAAUUGCUUUCAUGUAACCCAGCAAUGCCUGGACCACCAAGGUUCCCAGAUGGUCUUGUGGAUCUGCCACCCAUGAACAUGGUUGACCAUGUGUCGGACAGCCAUUCACUCUUCGCUGCAGGGUUUAACAACGUUGUGUCAAGGCUCCAGUCUAUUGAGGUGUAGUCACAUGGUGAAGGCCCAUUAGUUCUCCAAUCAGGACGAGAUAGAGAUGAAGACGACUCGGACGAGCUCCAUCCUCGAAACAACCCAAGUGAUGAAGCCGCACCAAGGGAAGAUGAUGUACCUCCAGAGCCCCAGGUACCACCCCAACCAUUAGCAGCCAGAUCUAUAGGAUUGGAAACAAAACUUUGUUGAUGGUUUGCAUGCACAAACUGCUUGGAAGAAUUAACACCAUCCAAGCUCAUAUUUCUUAGGCCAUGACCUAAACCACCAUUCAACAUCAUAUCCACACCUGAUGCACCAUUUAAGUACCAUUCCCUUGGAGGUUCUGACGCAAACAUACUAUGGCUUGUAGAUGGCAGGCUUUGUUUGGCAGCUGCAGAUUGGGGACGCUGCAUUACAACUACCGACUCUCUCAAGUUUCCAUUAUGCAUUGCAUUUUUCACCUCAUUGCCCCCUGCCACAUGUCGCGUUUCAGACUUUAUUUGAGGUGCUGCAACAGGUAAAGGGGAUGAUGUGAUGUAAGAAACCGAUGGAACCGAAUUAGCAUUAAGCCGCCUUUUCUCAGGUUGAACAAAUUGUGGUCGGCCCAUCUCUGGCUUAACAGAUGGUGCCAAUGGUUGAAACCCUUUAACUGCAUGUUCCUUUGGACCACUACCAUUUAACAAAAGCUUGUAGUUUAAGUCCUUCUCAUCUCUCCUCAUUUGCUGAGCCCCAACUGAAGAAAAUCCAUUUGUUUGAGGCCUAGUUGGGUUCUGUGCAAGCAUUAGCUGCGCUUUGUUAGCCAAGCCACUUGAAUCGCCAGAUCCUUCAGGCUUAGAUGCAGUUGCUGUUGAUUCUUGCUUCUGUGUCUUCAAAACCUCUUCAGCCUUUUCUAGAUCACCCUCGGAAGAAACAACAGCCCUUUCAAUCUCUUGCUUUGUACACUUGAAUUUAACCUCCAGGGUCGCAAUCUUUGCAAGUUCAUCAGUUAUAUCAAUCUUCAAAUUAACCCCAGGUUGUUGAUCUGCUGCUGUUUGCUGUUUGGCUUCCUCACUUCCAUCAAAGCUGCAUAGCCAGGCAACAGACUCUUCAAGGCAGCCCUCAUUCUGUAUAAGGGCCAUUGUUGCUUGAUCUGAUGAGAAACCCAUAGCAACAAGCUUCUGCGCAAGUGCCUCUAGCUUUCUCGACAUUAGGUAUCCCUUGCAGCGCUCAUGUAACUCCUGGGCACGCCUCUCCUUCUGCCUUUGAUGCUUCUUCUCAUUCUUCUGUCUGAUCUUCUCACGUUUAUCGACAUCACAUCCUGGAACAGAGUCCACUCGAGGUGCAGUACUCGUUGAUUUUUCCUUUGGAUCUUCUGACUCACCAGAACAGCUACCAUUGUUAGAGGCACAAUCAAAGUCUCCUGUACCAUGGGAGCUACGAGAAUGUUCAUCUAUCUCGUCUGUAUUCCUUAAUUUGUCAUUGCCCUGGCUAACCAGCAAAGAAGAUGAUGGCUCCAACAGAUGGAAUUUUCCAGAGAAGUUGUUAUAGGCACUUGCAACUGUGCCAUUCCCCAUAGGCUUUGCUGCAACCUUAGGUUGCUCUUUUGGUGCCUUGGCAGCUGACCUGUCUUUGGACUUGGAUUUGGAUGCAGAUGGCAUUUUCAACCGACGAUCACCCUGACGCUUACCGGGCGCGUCUGCGGCGGACGGAGGCGACGAGAGGCGGUAGGGUUUUGGCGGCCGGCGGCGGCGGCGGCGGCGGCGGACGGCGGAGGCGAGAUCGAGAGGCGGAUUUGGGCGAGUUAGGGUUUGGUUGACGCGGGGGGGCGGGGCGCGGAUGGCUG
rnacentral:sRNA from 1 species